AGAGCCCACACCCCCAGCAGGAGUCUGCAUCCUCUCGCACACCCCAACCCCCUGCCCCAGCCCUGAGCCUGCUCCUGCAGUGAAAGUGAGUGAGGGUGGGGAAAAGUGAGCGAUGGAGGGACGGGUGCUGGAGUGAGUGAGGGCGGGGCCUCAAAGAAGGGGCAGGGAAGGGAAAGGGGCCGGGCAAGGGUGUUCAGUUUUGUGCAAUUAGAAAAUUGGCAACCCUAGGUUCUGGCUCAUACCUCUGCAUAAUGGAUACCCUGCUCAUAAGCCUCAACUGGGGAGGAAGAGUAUGGCAAACCCAAGGUGUGCAGUCCCACAUCUUGGCCCAGCCUCACCCUGGCCUGGCCAGGCCGCACUCACUUGUCACCUCACUGCGAGAGCAGCCUGGGCUGACAGGCUGUGGAUCAAAGUCCUGCUGUGGGCCACGAGCUGGGCGGGGAGUUCUCCCUGCUUCAUCUCGCGUGGCCGCAGCUAGGCCCCAUGCAGGGGGAGCCCCGGGAGGCCUGCCCCUGGAUCCCAGAGCGUGGCCUUACCUGUGCAUCGUGCUCACUGCUUUGCCCUGGUCCUGUGUCACUGCCCCCUUUUCAUGCAGUGGCGCUGCUUCCUGGGGUCCUUCCGGUGUCUGUAAGAGAAGGAGGCUCCUUCAGAGCAGGACCAAGGGCCUCUCAGCCACUGGGACCCAGAGGGACAAACCAAACAGGCCAAGCUCUGAUCUCUGUACACUGGCAGCAGCUUGCAGUGUCCCCACUGCCUUCCCUGCAGCCCAGGCAGCUGUGCAGCCAGCAUCGCAAUCUGGCCCAGUGCUGCCAUUGCACACAGCGAAGGGCCAGCCUGGGGAGCAGGUGCUGGCAAUUGCCAACAGGGGCCAGGGCCCAUUUCUCCGAGCACUGACCUCUUCCAGCAGUGCAGCAGAUUCUUCCCUUGCCUCCUGGAUGAGUCAAGGCACGUUUCUCUCGGGCCUCUCCAUUGCUUCACGGUUAAUCUGGAAGACAAGCAGGUGUGUUUGGUCCCCUGCAGUGCCCAGUGCCCUGGUGGUGCCCCUGGGGCCUGGACUGGAGCUGGGGUCUUGCUGUCAGGCAGACGAGUAUCA
rnacentral:lncRNA from 1 species